GACGAACGCUGGCGGCGUGCUUAACACAUGCAAGUCGAACGGAAAGGCCCUGCUUUUGUGGGGUGCUCGAGUGGCGAACGGGUGAGUAACACGUGAGUAACCUGCCCUUGACUUUGGGAUAACUUCAGGAAACUGGGGCUAAUACCGGAUAGGAGCUCCUGCUGCAUGGUGGGGGUUGGAAAGUUUCGGCGGUUGGGGAUGGACUCGCGGCUUAUCAGCUUGUUGGUGGGGUAGUGGCUUACCAAGGCUUUGACGGGUAGCCGGCCUGAGAGGGUGACCGGCCACAUUGGGACUGAGAUACGGCACAGACUCCUACGGGAGGCAGCAGUGGGGAAUAUUGCACAAUGGGCGGAAGCCUGAUGCAGCAACGCCGCGUGCGGGAUGACGGCCUUCGGGUUGUAAACCGCUUUCGCCUGGGACGAAGCGUGAGUGACGGUAAUGGGUAAAGAAGCACCGGCUAACUACGUG
rnacentral:rRNA from 1 species